rnacentral:pre_miRNA from 1 species
AAUAAGCGCAACCAUAAGUUUCCGUGUCCAAUUUUUAUCUUCCGUCUUAUUUGAAAUUUUUUUAUGAUUAGUAUUUUUAUUGUUAUUAGAUUAUAAAACAUGAAUACAUAUGUUUUUGUAUUUUUUUAAAAAAAUAUUAAAUAAGACGAACGAUUAAAGUUGGACACGGAAACUCAUGACUGCGAUUAUU